AAAACUCUCAUAUCCUUUCAUGCUUGCGGCCGGUGCGGUUAUAAAAGCACUCAACACGCCUUCCAUUCAACGCUCUGCUUUCGCGAAGUUCAAACAAACCUGAACCUUGGGUUGGCUAGAGAGAGUUCUUUGAUCUUAAUCUUCCUUGGCCUCUGCUCUGAUCAGCGUUUACUCAAUGGAGGAGCAGGAACUUGUCUCCACAUUUCUUGAAAUCACAAUGAGCAAUUGUAGGGAUUCUGCUGCGAACAUCCUCAAGGAUGCAAGAUGGAAUAUUCAUGCUGCUAUUGAAUUAUUUUUUGAGCGUGAUGGUUCUCUUGGAGAAGCAACAACAUCACAAUCUAAUCCUCAUUUCAAUUUAUUAUUUCCUGACAUUAC